AGGGAUGAAAAAAUAUAGAAUGCACCCAAUCUUGUCUGAUCUUGGAAGCUAAACAACUUCAGGCCUGGUUAGUACUUAAAAUUUAUUUAAAGGCUGGUCUAAUCAUUA
rnacentral:rRNA from 14 species